rnacentral:misc_RNA from 1 species
GAUGAAGAACGUAGCGAAAUGCGAUAAGUAAUGUGAAUUGCAGAAUUCAGUGAAUCAUCGAAUCUUUGAACGCACAUUGCGCCCCCUGGUAUUCCGGGGGGCAUGCCUGUCCGAGCGUCAUUGCUGCCCAUCAAGCACGGCUUGUGUGUUGGGUCGUCGUCCCCCCCUCCGGGGGGGGACGGGCCCUAAAGGCAGCGGCGGCACCGCGUCCGAUCCUCGAGCGUAUGGGGCUUUGUCACCCGCUCUGUAGGCCCGGCCGGCGCUUGCCGAACGCAAAACAACCAUUCUUUCCAGGUUGACCUCGGAUCAGGUAGGGAUACCCGCUGAACUUAAGCAUAUCAAUAAGCGGAGGA